rnacentral:snRNA from 1 species
AUACCUUUCUCGGCCUUUUGGCUAAGAUCAAGUGUAGUAUCUGUUCUUAUCAGUUUAAUAUCUGAUAUGUGAGUCAUCGGCUCACAUGAUAUUAACUUAAUUUUUUAAGGGGGAAGGCUCAUUAGGGUAGCUUGCUGCCUGGGCCUUCACGCAUCGCCCUGGUUUUGCACUAUUGCUUGGGCUUGGCGCACCCCAC